GGGUUGUGAGGUUAAGCGACUAAGCGUACACGGUGGAUGCCCUGGCAGUCAGAGGCGAUGAAGGACGUGCUAAUCUGCGAUAAGCGUCGGUAAGGUGAUAUGAACCGUUAUAACCGGCGAUUUCCGAAUGGGGAAACCCAGUGUGAUUCGUCACACUAUCAUUAACUGAAUCCAUAGGUUAAUGAGGCGAACCGGGGGAACUGAAACAUCUAAGUACCCCGAGGAAAAGAAAUCAACCGAGAUUCCCCCAGUAGCGGCGAGCGAACGGGGAGGAGCCCAGAGCCUGAAUCAGUGUGUGUGUUAGUGGAAGCGUCUGGAAAGGCGCGCGAUACAGGGUGACAGCCCCGUACACAAAAAUGCACAUGCUGUGAGCUCGAUGAGUAGGGCGGGACACGUGGUAUCCUGUCUGAAUAUGGGGGGACCAUCCUCCAAGGCUAAAUACUCCUGACUGACCGAUAGUGAACCAGUACCGUGAGGGAAAGGCGAAAAGAACCCCGGCGAGGGGAGUGAAAAAGAACCUGAAACCGUGUACGUACAAGCAGUGGGAGCACAGAGCAAUCUGUGUGACUGCGUACCUUUUGUAUAAUGGGUCAGCGACUUAUAUUCUGUAGCAAGGUUAACCGAAUAGGGGAGCCGAAGGGAAACCGAGUCUUAACUGGGCGUUAAGUUGCAGGGUAUAGACCCGAAACCCGGUGAUCUAGCCAUGGGCAGGUUGAAGGUUGGGUAACACUAACUGGAGGACCGAACCGACUAAUGUUGAAAAAUUAGCGGAUGACUUGUGGCUGGGGGUGAAAGGCCAAUCAAACCGGGAGAUAGCUGGUUCUCCCCGAAAGCUAUUUAGGUAGCGCCUCGUGAAUUCAUCUCCGGGGGUAGAGCACUGUUUCGGCAAGGGGGUCAUCCCGACUUACCAACCCGAUGCAAACUGCGAAUACCGGAGAAUGUUAUCACGGGAGACACACGGCGGGUGCUAACGUCCGUCGUGAAGAGGGAAACAACCCAGACCGCCAGCUAAGGUCCCAAAGUCAUGGUUAAGUGGGAAACGAUGUGGGAAGGCCCAGACAGCCAGGAUGUUGGCUUAGAAGCAGCCAUCAUUUAAAGAAAGCGUAAUAGCUCACUGGUCGAGUCGGCCUGCGCGGAAGAUGUAACGGGGCUAAACCAUGCACCGAAGCUGCGGCAGCGACACUAUGUGUUGUUGGGUAGGGGAGCGUUCUGUAAGCCUGUGAAGGUG
rnacentral:rRNA from 1 species